CGUGAGUAACCUGCCUCAUACAGGGGAAUAACAGUUAGAAAUGACUGCUAAUGCCGCAUAAGCGCACAGGGCCGCAUGGCCCGGUGUGAAAAACUCCGGUGGUAUGAGAUGGACUCGCGUCUGAUUAGCUAGUUGGCAGGGUAACGGCCUACCAAGGCGACGAUCAGUAGCCGGCCUGAGAGGGUGAACGGCCACAUUGGGACUGAGACACGGCCCAAACUCCUACGGGAGGCAGCAGUGGGGAAUAUUGCACAAUGGGGGAAACCCUGAUGCAGCGACGCCGCGUGAGUGAAGAAGUAUUUCGGUAUGUAAAGCUCUAUCAGCAGGGAAGAAAAUGACGGUACCUGACUAAGAAGCCCCGGCUAACUACGUGCCAGCC
rnacentral:rRNA from 1 species